rnacentral:rRNA from 1 species
GUCUAUGGCUAUGCCACCCUGAACAAGCACUAUCCCGUCUAAUCUCAGAAGUUAAGCAGGGUUGAGCCUGGUUAGUACUUGGAUGAGAGACCACCUAGGAAGACCAGGUGCUGUGGGCA